rnacentral:rRNA from 1 species
CCUACGGGCUGCAGCAGUGAGGAAUAUUGGACAAUGGACGCAAGUCUGAACCAGCCAUGCCGCGUGCGUGAUGACGGCUCUAUGCGUUGUAAACUGCUUUUUUACGCAGGUAAACCCCGAUACGUGUAUCUUCUUGCAAGGAUCGUACGAAUACGGAUCGGCUAACCCCGUGCCAGCAGCCGCGGUAAUACGGAGGCUGCGAGCGGUAUCCGGAUGUGGUGGGUUUAAAGGGGGCGUAGGCGGUUUGAUAAGUUAGAGGUGAAAGGCCGGGGCUCAACCCCGAAACUGCCUCUAAUCCCGUUGGACUAGAGAAGAGUAGAGGUAGGUGGAAUGCAAGGUGUAGCGGUGAAAUGCUUAGAGAUCAUACAGAACACCGAUUGCGAAGGCAGCUGACUAAACUAUAACUGACGCUGAGGCACGAAAGCGUGGGUAACAAACAGGAUUAGAUACCCCAGUAGUC